AGUUACAUAAGCCAAGCAGAAAAAUCUCCGGUUCCAGCACGUACUUUAUGGUGGUUAUUUUCGAAGAAAAACUGCAUAUAUCCUUUGUUUAAGGUUGCAUCGCCGACACGUUGCUCACAGCCUCUCUUCUGGCCCCUGGAGAGAGCUUGGUGUGAAUGAUGUCCAGGGCCUAACAAAGCAAGGGUGCUCCAACAACUGUGGCGUGUUUGUUUUGAUGGAAAACAUGCUGCAAAUUAGGAGAUGGUGGUGUCUCGCUCUCCUGCAGAACUUCCCCAUGCCGUCUGAAGAAGACCGAUUGCAGGACAGAAAACGGCGACGAGUGCAAGGAGGGCUACAGACAGUGGAAAAUGAACAGAACUGGAAACAAGGAACAGGGUUGCUUGUUAUGGGCCAGAACAAUACCUUGAUACUUGCCAUUGUUAAACAUUUAUGGGAGCUUAAGGAAUGUAUUUGGCUAGGCUACAACAUUUUUUUUCUUUACAGA